CAAAACAUGUCUUAUUGAAUUUAAUUUUAAGUCAAUCUGCCCAAUGAAAAAAUUAAAUGGCUGCAGUAUAACUGACUGUACAAAGGUAGCAUAAUCAAUUGAUUUUUAAAUGAAAUCUGGAAUGAAAGGAUUAAUGAAAUAUAUACUGUCUCAUAUUUAUUAUAUGAAUUUAAAAUUUUAAUAAAAAUGUUAAAAUUUAUUUAUGGGACGAUAAGACCCUAUAGAAUUUUAUAUUAAUUUUUUUUAAUAAUUAAUAUUUAAAUUAAAAUUAAUAUUUAGUUGGGAGAAUUAUUAAAUUUAAUAAAUUUUAAUUAAUAUAAACUUUAAUUAAAGAAUAUAAUUUGAUUUUUAAUUUUUAAUUAUUAGAGUAAAUUACCUUAGGGAUAACAGCGUUAUAUUUUUUUAUAGAUCUUAUAGAAAAAAAUGAUUGCGACCUCGAUGUUGAAUUAAGAUAAAUUUUAAAUGUAGAAAUUUAAUAAUUAAGUCUGUUCGACUUUUAAAAUCUUACAUGAUUUGAGUUCAAAUCGACGUAGU
rnacentral:rRNA from 1 species